CAUGCGGUGGACACUUGCUUGUUGCUUUAGGGGGGUGUUUUUUUGGGGCAACCCGAGGACACCACCCGGCGGCAGGGGAAAGGCCACUGCGGGCGGGGCCCAUUUAUAUUUCUCGAAGACGUCACGGGCCCUUAACUGGUGUACUGUGGUCGCGGAUUCGAGACGUUUACUUUGAAAAAAUUAGAGUGUUCAAAGCAGGCAAUCAAAAACGCUUGAAUACAUUAGCAUGGAAUAAUGGAAUAGGACUUUGGUCUUAUUUUGUUGGUUUCUAGGACUGAAGUAAUGAUUAAUAGGGACAGUUGGGGGCAUUCGUAUUUAAUUGUCAGAGGUGAAAUUCUUGGAUUUAUGAAAGACGAACUUCUGCGAAAGCAUUUGCCAAGGAUGUUUUCAUUAAUCAAGAACGAAAGUUAGGGGAUCGAAGACGAUUAGAUACCGUCGUAGUCCUAACCAUAAACUAUGCCGACUAGGGAUCAGUGGGGAACAAAUCAAAAAACUCCAUUGGCACCUUAUGAGAAAUCAAAGUUUUUGGGUUCUGAGGAAAGUACCAACGCAAGUUGGAAACUUAAAGGAAUUGACGGAAGGGCACACCAGGCGUGGAAUCUGCGGCUUAAUUUGACAACACGGGGAAACUCACCAGGUCCAGACAAAAUAAGGAUUGACAGAUUGAGAGCUCUUUCUUGAUUUUUGGGCAGUGGUGCAUGGCCGUUCUUAGUUGGUGGAGCGAUCUGUCUGGUUAAUUCCGAUAACGAACGAGACCUUAACCUGCUAAAUAGCGACGUCAUUCCUUGUGAAGGACGGAUUUUGACUUCUUAGAGGGACUAUCGGUGACUAACCGAUGGAAGUUUGAGGCAAUAACAGGUCUGUGAUGCCCUUAGAUGUUCUGGGCCGCACGCGCGUUACACUGACAGAGGCAGCGAGUUUUUUUAAAUAUCCUGGCCUGGAAAGGUUUGGGUAAUCUUGUGAAUCUCUGUCGUGAUGGGGAUAGAUCUUUGUAAUUAUCGAUCUUCAACGAGGAAUGCCUUGUAAUCGCGGUUCAUCAAAUCGCGUUGACUACGUCCCUGCCCUUUGUACACACCGCCCGUCGCUACUACCGAUUGAAUGGUUUAGUGAGGUCUCAGGACUGGCGCGGCUUGGCUGUAAAAGGCCGAUCCAUGCUGGGAACUUGCCCAAACUUGAUCAUUUAGAGGAAGUAAAAGUC
rnacentral:rRNA from 1 species